CCCAGCCGAGCCGCGACAGAGCGGAGACAUCAUCUUCACCGCGGCGCGGGGAGGAAGCGCGCUCGGAGCGUCACCCGGCGGCCGGGCAGCACCUCGGACAGCGCCCAAGUCCGGCUCCUUCCGGACAGUUGGGUCUGUUUCCCGGGCGGAGUCGCAGCUACUUCGUGCGCCAGCCCAAAUCCUCGCCACCCCACCCCUCCUUCAGAAACUAGGACUAUACGCGUCUGCCGUGUGGCUUUUUUUUUUCUUCCGAAAGGCUAGUAUCUUAUCUCUCAAGUUCAUGUCCAGUCUCCUCCCCCUAAGUCAUCUCUACCCUUCCUGCACCGCGUAAAGCCGGAGUCCAAGGCUGCUCGCCCCAGCCAGCGUGGCGAGUGCCAGCCCGUCCGGCGCAGUAGCCCGGCGCAGUCGCCUUUCUCCCUCCCUUUGCUCCCUCCCUCCCUCCUUUUCUCUCUUUCCUCAUCUACUUCCCCCUCCGUGUCUUGCCUCUUAAGUUUCCUGCACCGUGAACACAACUGUGCCAAGCCCGGGCUGCAGCGAUCCAAUACUGAAAGCUACCCCAGCGCUGGGACGCCGGCUCGGCUGAGGCUGGACGAGGCAGCUGGACCCAUCCGCUCCCGAGCAUGGAGACGGAGCUCCGAGGAGGGCACGUCCGGGGCGCCGAAGACGCCAGGCCCGAGUAGCUCCUCCAUGGAGCCUGCCCAGAGCGGUCCCUGCUUGCCAGAUUCUCCUCCAGUCCUGUGGGGCUGCUGAGAGCGCUCCCUGCUCCGUAAAGUGGAUGUCAGGUGGAUUUAUGUUUCUGAAGGAACAAAGACUCAGCGAAGGCACCGCCAAGGAAGUUUGAGACGCGGGAGGAUGCAGGCUGCGUGCUGGUACUUGAUUCUCCUCUUGCAGCCCGCCGUCUACUUGGUAAGUCUCGCCGGGUCGGGAGUCUCUGAAAUUUCUCCCAGGCCAGGAGGCCAGGCUA
rnacentral:lncRNA from 1 species